rnacentral:rRNA from 1 species
UGCAGUCGAGUGCGCGCCAUGUAGCAAUACAGGUGGCGCACGGCGCACGGGUGCGUAACACGUGGGUAAUCUGCCCUCUGAUGGGGAAUAACUCGCCGAAAGGCGAGCUAAUUCCGCAUAAUAUUCCGAAAAGUUCGCUUUUUGGACUGAAAGGCGUAAGUCGUCGGAGGAGGAGCCCGCGCACGAUUAGCUAGUUGGUAGGGUAAUGGCCUACCAAGGCUUUGAUCGUUAGCUGGUCUGAGAGGAUGGCCAGCCACACUGGAACUGAGACACGGUCCAGACUCCUACGGGAGGCAGCAGUGGGGAAUCUUGCACAAUGGGCGAAAGCCUGAUGCAGCGACGCCGCGUGGGGGAUGAAGCUUCUCGGAGUGUAAACCCCUUUCGAUCCGGACGAAUGCCCGCAAGGGAGUGACGGUACGGAUAUAAGAAGCCCCGGCUAACUACGUGCCAGCAGCCGCGGUAAUACGUAGGGGGCCAGCGUUGUUCGGAAUUACUGGGUGUAAAGGGUUCGUAGGCGGUGUGGCAAGUUGGGAGUGAAAUCUCUGGGCUCAACCCAGAGACGGCUUCCAAAACUGCCGUGCUUGAGUGUGAGAAAGGCUCGUGGAAUUGCAGGUGUAGCGGUGAAAUGCGUAGAUAUCUGCAGGAACACCCGUGGCGAAAGCGGCGAGCUGGAUCACUACUGACGCUGAAGAACGAAAGCUAGGGGAGCAAACAGGAUUAGAUACCCUGGUAGUCCUAGCCCUAAACGAUCAGGACUUGGGGUGCCACCCGUUCGGGUGGCGUCCCGGAGCUAACGCGUUAAGUCCUGCACCUGGGGAAGUACGGUCGCAAGACUGAAACUCAAAGGAAUUGACGGGGGCCCGCACAAGC